GUGCUCACUUUGGCAGCAUGUAUACUAAAAUUGUAACAAUAAAGAGAAGACUAGCACGGCCCCUGCGCAAGGAUGACAUGCAAAUUUGCGAAGUGUUCCUUUUUUUU